ensembl:lncRNA
AGGAAUGUGAUUUCAUGCUCCCUGAAGUCAACUUGUCAAGACCAUCUUUUUUCCAGAUGUGGGAAGGAUUGUCACAUAGCAUACUGUGAGGCAGAAGUAUCCAACUAGCACAUUCUGUCCCGUGAAAUCCAGGACUGCUGGAUCAGAAACAAUGGCUAUAAGAAUGGACUAUUCCUAUUAAGUCCACAGUGAGAAGAUUUAAAGUCAAAGGAAGCCUUCUCCCCACCCUCAUGCCCAGGAUGAAAUGAGCCUGGUUCUUAAGGGAUUCAGACCAGCCUUGCACUUCUUGUCUUUGUAUUGUGUGUUAUAUAAGUGUCUUUACAACUUGGGCCACUGUAUUCUAUCACUUGAAGCCUAAAAUUAUACAUAUUCUCUUUGACACCCUCCUCCUUUCCCUAGAUAAACAUUCCUUCUUCUGUGUGCCCACAACCUCUUACAUGGACCUCUGUUCUGGAAUUUAAUAUGUAGUCCAGCAGUCAUGGACAUGACUUGUUUUGAGAUCAUCCAAAGAAUUUGUGGAUUUUCUUUCAUUUUUGUAAUCCUGCCUGGUACCUAACACAGAAGCAUGUGUUUAGUAGGUGUCAAGACUUCAUAUAUUCACUCACUGUUCUAGGAGGCCUGGUAAGGGCUCUCUCUUGAGAGUGUGGGAAAGUAGUGGACAGCCCCUGUCCUUGCCUGGGUGAGGCUGUCGGGAAAGCCUGAGUCAGAAAUACCCUAGCGAACUUUCAGUCCUGAGCCCCUGACAGUACACUCCUGAAAACUGGGAGAUGGAAGUCACUCUAGAUGCAGAAUGGGGCAAUUCUGAAAAGUAUGUCUCUUUUUCCAUCUGGGUUCUUAGGAUUCUUUUUAGAUAUUAUUUUUAUAAAAAUAUUUUUUGGAGAUUAAAAUGGUCUUUUCAUUUUUUAAAGUUUUAUUGAAAUGUAGUUGAUGUACAAGAUUAUGAUAAUUCCUGAAAAAUUUUUUUAGAUUGAAGUAUAGUUGAUUUACAAUGUUGUGUUAGUAUAUAUGUAAAGAAUGGGCGUGUGUGUAUGUAUAUGUAUAUACGCACACACACACCCACACACACACAUAUUCUUUUUCAGAUUCUUUUCCAUGAUGAUUUAUUACAAGAUAUUAAAUAUAGUUCCCUGUGCUAUACAGAAGGUCCUUGUUUAUUUUAUAUAUAGUAGUGUAUAUAUAUUAAUCCCAAACCCCUUAUUUAUCCUUCUCCCUCCCUUUCCUCCUUGGUAACCAUACGUUUGUUUUCUAUGUCUGUGACUCUGUUUCAGUUUUAUAAAUAAGUUCAUUUGGAGGACGAAGUUUCGAUCUGUGGCCUCACUCAGUGGGUUAAGGAUCCAGCGUUGCUGUGAACUGUGGUGUAAGUCACAGAUGCAGCUCUGAUCCGGCGUUGCUAUGGCUGUAGUGUAGGCUAGCGGUUACAGCUCUGAUUGGACCCCUAGCCUGGGAACUUCUAUAUGCUGCUGUGCAGCCCUAAAAAGACAAAAAAAAAAA